rnacentral:rRNA from 1 species
UACGUAGGAGGCGAGCGUUGUUCGGAGUUACUGGGCGUAAAGGGUGUGUAGGCGGUUUUCUAAGUUUGGUGUGAAAUCUCCCGGCUCAACCGGGAGGGUGCGCCGAAAACUGGGAGACUAGAGUGCGGGAUGGGAGAGUAGAAUUCCUGGUGUAGCGGUGAAAUGCGUAGAUAUCAGGAGGAAUACCGGUGGUGUAGACGGCUCUCUGGACCGCCACUGACGCUGAGACACGAAAGCGUGGGUAGCAAACAGG